UUAACUUAUUUGUUUGAUUACUCAGAGAUGCCACAGAGAUGCAAAAGAGUUUCUUACCUCCGGCGGGCGGUCCGGAGACCGGGGGCUCUCGCCCUGGCUCCCGCCGAAGCAACGCUGAUGGAUGGGUUCGCGAUGGUUGUAAGCAGCCUUUCGGCGCUUCUUGUAAUGAUCCCUCCGCUGGUUCACCAACGGAGA
rnacentral:misc_RNA from 1 species